AGAUGAAGGGAAUGACUGUCUGAGCAGCAGAUGCUGCUUAUGAAGCUCAACGUUCCCUGCAGCAAGAUAUGGAGAUGUUUAGGAGGAAGGGGAAGAGCUCUCAGCCUGCAGCCUGGCAAGCAGGAGACCCAUGCGUUCCUCCUCCUUGGUAAUCCCAUGAUAGAAAGGGGACACAGCCACUGCAUUUUAUUGCCAGCCUGCUUUUCCAGAGCAUGACAGCUUCCUAUAAGAGCACUACUGAAUGCAUGCACUAACAUGAAAACA